AAGUCGUAACAAGGUCUCCGUUGGUGAACCAGCGGAGGGAUCAUUACAGAGUGUUCUAAACACCCUAAACCCCUGUGAACCUACCAGUCGUUGCUUCGGCGGGAUCGCCCCGGGCGCCUCACAGCGCCCCGGAACCAGGCGCCCGCCGGGGGAAACCAAACUCUUCUGUUUAUUUUUCUGUUUACUGUAUACUAUCUGAGUAAAAUCAUAUAAUGAAUCAAAACUUUCAACAACGGAUCUCUUGGUUCUG
rnacentral:misc_RNA from 1 species